rnacentral:tRNA from 1 species
GGAUGGGUGGCCGAGAGGUAAGGCAGCCGCUUGCUAAGCGGUCGACACCCGAAAGGGUUACGCGGGUUCGAUCCCUGCCCCAUCCGCCA